UGGUCUUGACAUCCCAAGAAUCUUUUAGAAAUAAGAGAGUGCUUUCAUUAGAGAGAACUUGGUGAC
rnacentral:rRNA from 1 species